GUAACAUUGAAUUGUUGUGUGUAAAUGAUGUACAGACAUGCACUGCUCAUUUAGAGCUGUUAAUUAUGACCAAAGUUUUACUUAUAUAUAUAUAUAUAUAGUAUAGUUUUUGAUAAAUGUCUGUUGAGGCCACAACAUUUGGCUUUUAUCCUAAGAUCUUAGUGACAAGCAGCAAUUAUAAUGGACUGUUAAAACUGCACUCUUUGGAGUUUUUCAGUGAUUGAUCUUUUUUUUUUUUUUUUUUUUGUUGUUGAUCUGUUGAUUUUACAGUUGUUUAAUCAGUGGGUCACAGUUGUUCCUGCUAUACUCACCAUUCUUCGAUGAAAUGUAAGUGUUAUUUCCAUCUGUUACAACACUGAAUGCCGUAAAUCUGUGUUGCUCUACUUCAAUUUUGUCUCCACACUUUACAUAGGCUACUGCCUUUCUUGUGACACGUGUGGCAACGCAUUUACAUUUCAGUGGCUCCGGACGGCUGUAUGGACUGCAUGUUGCCAUUGUGAUGCUAAGAACAAAUACACAGAAAGGGUAAUUAUGAAACUUGUUAAUCUGAUUCAAACAGGACACAAUGCAGUUAAUAUGUUUACUGUACAUACAAAGUUACAAUUGAGCUAUCUUUUUUUACUUCAUACUCCACAAGAAUGUAUUUAUUAAUUCAUGUAAUGGAUUUUGAUGUAUUGAACUUUCUUGUCAGGGAGUGAAAAAGGGCAGUCUCUGACAGCAUACCCUUUCUUUUUCUUUUUACUUCAUAACCUGACAGGAUUUCUCUUUUUUUAAAUGUGCAGAGUGUUUUAGCGGCAUCUAGCGGUGAGGUUUGUGAAUUGUAACCAACGGCUUAGCCCCUGCUCACCCGUCCCUUUAGAGAAGCUUUACAGAUUUUGUGAAGUAAAGAUUUUCCUCAGAAAAUAAACUUUCCCGUCAGGAAUUGAAGAAAUCCUGUUUCUGACAGGAAAUCUAUAAAAUAUAUUUCUUGUGAAGUCAAGAUUUAGAUCAGAAAAUGUGUUUUCCUGUCAGAGAUAAUUUUCCCCCCUCUUUUUUUUUUUUUACUUGAUAUUCUGACAGGAUUAACUGUUAUUCUGUUUUUUUUAACUCCAUAUUGCACAGGAAUUUAUGUAUUCAUUCACUAAAUUUAUUGAAUUAGUUAUUUAUUGAAAGUUAUUGAUAAUAUUUAUUGUGAAGUAAAGAUUUAAGAUUUAUUUAUCCUUCAUAUUAAAUUCUUUAAAUCCUGUCAGAAUGGGUUUUAUUAAUGUCAUGUCUUCAUAAUCUUUUAAAAAUCACUAAUGUUAUUUGAAAUCAGUUAAAAAAAUACUUCAGAAAAUUAUUUUUCCAGUCAGAAACACUUCUCUGACCAAAUCCUGUCAGAAUAGGGUUUAUUAUAUUACAGUCUCUGUCUAUCCUGUCACUGUCAUAUAGGCCCUUAUCACUUACAUUUUUUUUUUGGAAGAAUUUAAUUUGUAGUUGUAAAGUUACAACUUUUAAUCACUGUUUGUAGAAAAGUAAAAUUGACUCACCUCAGACAAUAUGUGGUUGUUGCUGCUGCAGAGUAGUCAGUGAGUCGAGUGAGAGGGGGUCAGUGGGCCAGUGGUCUUAAACUUGGCAGUGGUCCAAUCAGAUGACGUCACCGAGGCGCAUAGUAACAAGAGGUAUAUCUGAUGCCUCCCGGAAUAAUUAAAAAAAAAAUAAUAAUAAUAAUAAUUGUAUGUAUUUAUUAAAUUUUUUUUUUAGUGAUUUGUGUUAUAAUGUAUUUAAAUAACUUAUUUAUUUGUAUGUUAAAUGUAUUUAUUAUUAAGAAAUUAUUUAUUAUAUAUUAUUAGAAUAAUGCAUGUAUUAAAAUUUAUUUUAAAUGAACAUUUUAAAUGAACUUGUUUUUAAUGAAUUUACUUUUUUAUAAAAAUGUUUUUAAAUUGACUUUUAUGUAUUGAAAUGAACUUACUUUCCCCCCAAUAAAACCGGUCCC
ensembl:lncRNA